ACUACAGGUCCUGGAUUCUGCCCUGAAGGCACCCGGUGGCCCACCUUCCAUAUUGUACCUGAUUGUCAGGUUUUCAAAGCACACUCGCCUGAGGGUGUUAGAAACAAGCCAGAGAAAACUAAAGCCCAGAGAAGAGCCCUAGGAUAGCCUGUCACUGGGAGAGCUGACUUUUCAAGCCUCUGUGAUUUGGUUUGGUUUGGGUUGGGUUGGGUUGCGUUUUUUCUUACCUUUCUUGCCAUAGAUCAGGGUCUCACGAACCUCUUAAGAGUCAAUGGCCCGUCCACUAUCAGUGAAGCAAUAUAUAUAUUUUUUUAUUUUGUUUAUUUGUUGUUGUUUGAGACAGAGUCUUGAUUUGUCACUCAGGCUGCAGUGCCGUGUCUCGAUCUUGGCUCACUGCAACCUCCGCCUCCCUGGUUCAAUCCAUUCUCUUGUCCCAGCCUCUCCAGUAGCUGGUAUUACAGGUGCAUACCACCACGCUCAGCUAAUUUUUUUUUUUUUUUUGUAUUUUUAAUAGAGACAAUGUUUCACCAUGUUGGCCAGGCUGGUCUCGAACUCCUGACCUCAAGUGACCCGCCCGCCUUGUCCUCGAAUAGUGCUGGGAUUACAGGUGCGACCCACCACACCCGGCUGCAAUGUUUGUUUUAAUUACUUUUGGCAAGUAUUUCCUGAGUACCCCGAGCGUGCCAGGUGAAGAGAGACGGAUAAUAACAGCGCUAGCCAGCACGUAUUAAGCCUUGCAAAGCUGCACGGGCAUGAACUUGUGGCUUCAACACAACCUUAUGAGGUUUUCACAAUGUCACCGAGGCUGGAGUGCAAUGGUGUGAUCUUGGCUCACUGCAGCCUCAACCUCCCAGGCUCAAGUGAUUCUCCCACCUCAGCCUCUCAAGUAGCUAGGACUAUAGAUGUGUACCACACUCGGCUAAUUUUUGUAUUUUUUUGUAGAGAUGGGGUUUUGCCAUGUUGCCCAGGCUGGUCUCAAACUCCUGGGCUCCAGCAAUCCUCCGCCUUAGCCUCCCAAAUUGCUGGGAUUACAGGCCUGAGCCACUGGCGCCUGGCCAUGACUCCUUUCUUGAAAGACUCUCACUGUCUCUUCUCUUGCCAUCUCUCUGCUCUUCCUUUUUCUGUCCUCCUUUGUCCUCCUCCUCUUUCUCCUUCUCUGUCUCUGCCUCUCUCUGUGUGUCUCUCUCUUCGUGUCUCUCUCUUCCGCACAUCAUGCAUUCUUACCAACCAUGACUAAACACUUAUGCGAUAGAAGAAUAUGUUUUCAGUAAUUCACUGUGGGUCUUGGCUUGUAGAAAUCCCACAAGCCAGGCUCUGUGCCUUCGCUACACUUUUGGUGAGAACUUCUGUGGACAGAGGCACAAAAGCCUCAAGCUGUGAGAUUCAAAAUCUGGUGGUUAAGCCAGCCCCUCAGCGCUCCCAGCCUGCGCCCCUCGUUGGAAACAAUGAGUUGGAAAGUGUCUUGAUGACUUUCAGCAGACAGACCUGCAAAGAAGAGAAGCUGAUCUGGACUCUGGCCUUCCUUCACAACACACUGACAAGCCCACCACAGCUGCCAAACAUGAGGUGAUGGGACAGCCCUCGUGGCCUCCACCCACCGCCCUGGUGGAGAAGUGAAACAUGAACCCACCAGUGCAAGACAGAGGAAGAGGCACCAGCGAAGGCAAGAAAACUGAAGCUGGACGCUGGCCUCCAGUCCUGUCUUUGCCAUUAGCAGCCCUGGGAUCUUAGUGCCUUCACCAGCCGAGCUUCAGUUUUUCCACCUGUAAAAUGGAGGGUUGAGGCCACAUCUUCCUUUUAGUCCUUCCUCUUCCCUUCCCUCCAGAGCAAGUGGUGUGGAAUUCUAAGGCAAAAGUCACCCUGAUUGAAUGGUGUAGAUUAGUCAAGAACCCAGCACUGAGGUCAGCCUCUGGAAGCAAUUUAAGAUGACCCAAGGAUUUGAGAUUCCAACCUCCUGCAUGCAAGCAGAAGUGCUUCCUCCUACAUAGGGCUGCCCUCCUUCCUGAGCAACUGGGCUGAUUUGUGGAAGAAACAGCUGUGCUUUCUGGUGAGCUCCAAUGCCAAACAUGUAGGCCUUGGAUCAGGCAGGAUGUUCCAUCAGCAGUCAUUGUUCACACCUGUGCUGUAUGGGCCAGGCAUCGAGCCAAUAGUAACACCUCCUUUCACCCCACAACAACCCUGUACCAAGCACACACCCAUUUUAUACCUGAGGAAGCUGAGGCUUGGAGAGGCACCGCGCCCAGGGUCAUGUAACCACAGGUGACAAAAUGAAGAUGCAAAUGCAACCUGAGUGAUUCCUUUUGAUGGAGCCACACCAUUUAAAUCAAUG
rnacentral:lncRNA from 1 species